rnacentral:rRNA from 1 species
ACUCAAAGGAAUUGACGGGGACCCGCACAAGCGGUGGAUGAUGUGGAUUAAUUCGAUGCAACGCGAAAAACCUUACCUACCCUUGACAUGUCUGGAAGUUUGAUGAAAGUCGAAUGUGCUCGAAAGAGAACCAGAACACAGGUGCUGCAUGGCUGUCGUCAGCUCGUGUCGUGAGAUGUUGGGUUAAGUCCCGCAACGAGCGCAACCCUUGUCAUUAGUUGCUACAUUUAGUUGGGCACUCUAAUGAGACUGCCGGUGACAAACCGGAGGAAGGUGGGGAUGACGUCAAGUCCUCAUGGCCCUUAUGGGUAGGGCUUCACACGUCAUACAAUGGUCGGUACAGAGGGUUGCCAAACCGCGAGGUGGAGCCAAUCUCAGAAAGCCGAUCGUAGUCCGGAUUGUAGUCUGCAACUCGACUACAUGAAGUCGGAAUCGCUAGUAAUCGCGGAUCAGCAUGUCGCGGUGAAUACGUUCCCGGGUCUUGUACACACCGCCCGU